CAGCCUUUCCCAAUGUAUGGCUCUAUCAGUCAGGCUCUAUCAGUCAGCCACCCAGCCUAAAACAUGUGCAAGGGGCCGCUUAUAUAAAGGCAAGUCAGUCCAGGUAACUAACCUGGUUAUAGCUCGCUUUCACUGGAUGAAUGUCUGUUUACAUGAAAUUCAAAUUCAAAUUCAAAUUUAUUUCACACGUUUACAAAAGAUAUAGUUAGACAUUAAUUACAUCACAAAAAAAUCAUAAUGGAAGGGAAAAAAAGGGAGUUAAUUAUGGUAUUGUAUCGUGUACAGUGGCCAAAGUAGCUGCGAAGCUUUCGAGUUGGCCACCGUUUACAAAAUUGUUGUUUUGUGACUGUUUACAUAAUUGAGAAAAAAGAAAAGAACAUGACGUGUUUGGUGUGGCUGGAUCAGUGUCUGGAUUCUACGUUUGGCUUAGGAUAAGUUUUCUUGUAUAUUUAGAUUUAAAUAUUCUAACUGAAGUCGACUGCUUAAUAUGUAGGUCUAUCGUUUCCCAAAUAUUGGAUGACGAAAAAAGAAAAGUGUGUUUGCCGUAAUUUGUGCGCGCUUUUGGUCUGCUAAAGUUUUGAUUUGCCGCGAAUCUUGUAUUAUACGAGUGACAGGUAGAUGCGAUGGAUAUGGAGUUUGCAAAAACUGACGGUAUUAAGUUGUUAAGGAUUUUAUAUGUAAAAAUUGCAAUUUUCAAUUUAAAAACAUUGUCAACGUUGAGUAUUCCCAAUAGAUUGAGGUAGGUACUGGCAUCUUCUCUUUUAUGCGCAAAGAAAAUGUUUCGUACACAUUUAUUUUGAGCAAUGCGAAUUUUGGAUAGAUGGGUAGUAUAGGUGUUUCCCCAGCUCAUUAUUCCGUAGUUAAGAUAUGGAUAGAUUAGGGAAUAGUAGAGUUGUUUCAACAUCUGUAGGUUCACAUAAUAUCGCAAUUUAUUAAGGAUGCCAGUG